UGUUGAGAGGCAUAUAAAGUAUAGGUAAAGAGGAAGACAAAGGGAAGGAGUAGGGGUGCCAAGUCCCUCACCUUACCCAGGAGAAAAGAGAGACUUAGUGUGGGGUGGGGUUGGGGCCCAGGGGAAGGUGGCAAGAAAGUUUUUUAGUGGGUAGGCCAUGUGGGUGGAAACUGAGGUGAAUAAGGCUGGGAGGUUGCAGGGGGCGCUGACUGGAAAAGGCAGGCCAGAGCAGGAGGUGCGGAGCAGAAGGGGCAGGGACGGGCAGGAGACGCUGAGCAGAAGAGGCGGGGCAGAGCAGGGGGAGCUGGGCAGAAGGGUCGGGGCAGGGGCGAAGGCAGAGCGCCCCCUCGUGGUUGGAGUGUCUGCACAAACGAUUUGCCACACCAGCCCUGGAGCUGGCACCACUUGGUCUCACCUCACUUGUGGUGUCUCGUUGGCCACGCCUGUCUUUGUCUCACCUGACGUGCUAUGCCUCUCCUGCCCGGGCUCUGUCCUGUCUGCCGCCACUACCGCCACAUGGCCCUGCCAGAGCUGCAGCCCGCUCGUCUGUUUGCUCCGUCGCAGUCACCGCGCCAACAGUCCUUAUUGGCCACGUAAAUUUUUCUGAAGAGGCUACAGAGGAUUAAAAAGUAUUUGUAAAGAAGAAAGAAAGAAAUGGAAAGAAGGAGGAAGGAAGGAAGGAAAAAGAAGAAAGAAGGAAAGUGAGAGGGAAAGAUGGAAGGAAGGAGGGAGGAAGGAAGGAGGGAAGAAUGGAAAAAGAAAAGAAAUUAUUGUAAAGGAACAUUACACUUAUGGACAAUAUUCUCUUUAAAAUUUUUUGAAAGAUACCACACAAAUAAAUACUGAAAUUCUCUUUUUUAUCUUGUGCUGUCAGAAAAUAUCGAGAGUACAAAUUUCUGAAAAAUUAGGGCACUUGGGGUUUCUGGAUUUUAUUUUUGUUUCAUUGUUUUCUUUGUAGGACCAUUUCAAAAUAUGUCAAGACAUAUAUUUGAGAGUGAGGAUUAAGCUCUGUUUUUUGUUGUUGUUUUUUGUUUGUUUGUUUUGCCCAAAUUCCUGUCUUUAAGUGGUCUGGGGAAUCAUACCCUACAAACCAUAAAUUCUCAUCAGAUGGGUUUUAUUUAAUUCUAUGUAUCAUGAUUUACUUUCUAACCUGACUCUGGCAUAACAUUACAGGACAAG
rnacentral:lncRNA from 1 species